GUUAGGCGUAGGCGGUUUAUUAAGUCAGUGGUGAAAGACGGUCGCUCAACGAUUGCAGUGCCAUUGAUACUGGUAGACUUGAGUGGGAGUUGAGGGUAGCUGGAAUGGAUAGUGUAGCGGUGAAAUGCAUAGAUAUUAUCCAGAACACCAAUUGCGUAGGCAAGUUACUAAGUCUCAACUGACGCUGAGGCACGAAAGUGUGGGUAUCAAACAGGAUUAGAUACCCCUGU
rnacentral:rRNA from 1 species